rnacentral:rRNA from 1 species
CAGCCGCCGCGGGAAUACGAAGGGUGCAAGCGUUAAUCGGAAUUACUGGGCGUAAAGCGUGCGUACGCGGUGAGUUAAGUCUGCUGUGAAAUCCCCGGGCUCAACCUGGGAAUGGCAGUGGAUACUGGCUCGCUAGAGUGUGUCAGAGGAUGGUGGAAUUCCCGGUGUAGCGGUGAAAUGCGUAGAGAUCGGGAGGAACAUCAGUGGCGAAGGCGGCCAUCUGGGACAACACUGACGCUGAGGCACGAAAGCGUGGGGAGCAAACAGGAUUAGAUACCCCAGUAGUCCCUGUCUCUUAUAC